UACGUAGGGGGCAAGCGUUGUCCGGAAUCAUUGGGCGUAAAGAGCGUGUAGGCGGUCCGGUCAGUCGGUUGUGAAAGUCAAGGGCUCAACCCUUGAAUGCCGGCCGAUACUGCCGGGCUAGAGUCCGGAAGAGGUGAGUGGAAUUCCUGGUGUAGCGGUGAAAUGCGCAGAUAUCAGGAGGAACACCGGUGGCGAAGGCGGGAUCCUGGGCCAGUACUGACGCUGAGGAGCGAAAGCGUGGGGAGCAAACAGG
rnacentral:rRNA from 1 species